rnacentral:rRNA from 1 species
GACGAACGCUGGCGGCGUGCCUAAUACAUGCAAGUCGAACGAACUCUGGUAUUGAUUGGUGCUUGCAUCAUGAUUUACAUUUGAGUGAGUGGCGAACUGGUGAGUAACACGUGGGAAACCUGCCCAGAAGCGGGGGAUAACACCUGGAAACAGAUGCUAAUACCGCAUAACAACUUGGACCGCAUGGUCCGAGUUUGAAAGAUGGCUUCGGCUAUCACUUUUGGAUGGUCCCGCGGCGUAUUAGCUAGAUGGUGGGGUAACGGCUCACCAUGGCAAUGAUACGUAGCCGACCUGAGAGGGUAAUCGGCCACAUUGGGACUGAGACACGGCCCAAACUCCUACGGGAGGCAGCAGUAGGGAAUCUUCCACAAUGGACGAAAGUCUGAUGGAGCAACGCCGCGUGAGUGAAGAAGGGUUUCGGCUCGUAAAACUCUGUUGUUAAAGAAGAACAUAUCUGAGAGUAACUGUUCAGGUAUUGACGGUAUUUAACCAGAAAGCCACGGCUAACUACGUGCCAGCAGCCGCGGUAAUACGUAGGUGGCAAGCGUUGUCCGGAUUUAUUGGGCAUAAAGCGAGCGCAGGCGGUUUUUUAAGUCUGAUGUGAAAGCCUUCGGCUCAACCGAAGAAGUGCAUCGGAAACUGGGAAACUUGAGUGCAGAAGAGGACAGUGGAACUCCAUGUGUAGCGGUGAAAUGCGUAGAUAUAUGGAAGAACACCAGUGGCGAAGGCGGCUGUCUGGUCUGUAACUGACGCUGAGGCUCGAAAGUAUGGGUAGCAAACAGGAUUAGAUACCCUGGUAGUCCAUACCGUAAACGAUGAAUGCUAAGUGUUGGAGGGUUUCCGCCCUUCAGUGCUGCAGCUAACGCAUUAAGCAUUCCGCCUGGGGAGUACGGCCGCAAGGCUGAAACUCAAAGGAAUUGACGGGGGCCCGCACAAGCGGUGGAGCAUGUGGUUUAAUUCGAAGCUACGCGAAGAACCUUACCAGGUCUUGACAUACUAUGCAAAUCUAAGAGAUUAGACGUUCCCUUCGGGGACAUGGAUACAGGUGGUGCAUGGUUGUCGUCAGCUCGUGUCGUGAGAUGUUGGGUUAAGUCCCGCAACGAGCGCAACCCUUAUUAUCAGUUGCCAGCAUUAAGUUGGGCACUCUGGUGAGACUGCCGGUGACAAACCGGAGGAAGGUGGGGAUGACGUCAAAUCAUCAUGCCCCUUAUGACCUGGGCUACACACGUGCUACAAUGGAUGGUACAACGAGUUGCGAACUCGCGAGAGUAAGCUAAUCUCUUAAAGCCAUUCUCAGUUCGGAUUGUAGGCUGCAACUCGCCUACAUGAAGUCGGAAUCGCUAGUAAUCGCGGAUCAGCAUGCCGCGGUGAAUACGUUCCCGGGCCUUGUACACACCGCCCGUCACACCAUGAGAGUUUGUAACACCCAAAGUCGGUGGGGUAACCUUUUAGGAACCAGCCGCCUAAGGUGGGACAGAUGAUUAGGGUGAAGUCGUAACAAGGUAGCCGUAG